rnacentral:rRNA from 1 species
CCUACGGGUGGCUGCAGUGGGGGAUAUUGCACAAUGGGGGAAACCCUGAUGCAGCAACGCCGCGUGUGGGAAGAAGGUUUUCGGAUUGUAAACCACUGUUCUUGGUGAAGAUAAUGACGGUAACCAAGGAGAAAGCUCCGGCUAACUACGUGCCAGCAGCCGCGGUAAUACGGAGGAUGCGAGCGUUAUCCGGAUUUAUUGGGUUUAAAGGGUGCGUAGGCGGACUGUUAAGUCAGCGGUAAAAGCCCGGGGCUCAACCCCGGCGAGCCGUUGAAACUGGCUGUCUUGAGAUGUCGAGAGGUAUGCGGAAUGCGCAGUGUAGCGGUGAAAUGCUUAGAUAUUGCGCAGAACUCCGAUUGCGAAGGCAGCAUACCGGCGGCGAUCUGACGCUGAGGCACGAAAGCGUGGGUAUCGAACAGGAUUAGAUACCCGAGUAGUC